AGUUGGUGAUGAGCGGUGGUGGAUCUGAAACGCCAAGUAUUUAUAGUUUAAAGGUUUCAGAUGUCACGGAAUUGACAUUAACAUCAGUUAUACUUAUAUUAUAUUAACAUCAGUUAUAUUACAUUUAAAUUUCAGUGGUUAAGUGUUUGUUAAUUUUUGAGUCGAAAGUGCCUCUGAAAGAGAAUUAAGACAUCAGGUCCUUUGGAGCAAAGAACUGAAGUACGGAAAACUCCCCACCAGAUUUUGGCAAAAACAUUGCCCUCCUUGAUGUCGGGUUGUUCCGUCCAAACUCAUGCUCUUCACCCAAACAGAACAAGUUACAGGAAAUAUGAUACUGUCAGACCAUGUGGAAUACAAUUAUUUUUUAAAGUUACUCACUCCUGGCUGAAGCAUCAACAACUUGUCACCAUCGCUUUUUCAUUUCGACUUUGCUAUCUGCCUUGUUUCCUUCAUUGAUUAUAAUCAGACUGUAAAUAGAGCAGGGUUAUUUAUAAUUCCAUUUCAUCUCUUGUUUUUUUGUGCUUGUGAAACAUUUAUACCUUGGCUGCUGUAAUAUUGUGCAUGGCUAGGUGGUCCCUCCUAUCUUUUCAUGGAUGCCUGACCCUCCAGUUGUCGGCACGGGAAAGAUGCUGCUGCCGUCAGCGAAAUGCUGCUUUGACGUUUUACCUGGCAGGGAUGGCUGUCACGUUUCUUCACUCCUCAGCCCCGGUUAAUGUUGUACAGAUGCGGCCAAUCCUUAGCCAUGAGCCAAUAGGAUUAUUAUGUAUUUAGCUGACACAUUUGAAUUAUGUAUUUAUGUAUUCAUGAACCUUAUUCCGUUAUGUCCUCUAAAUAAAACGUCAUGCUCUUUGGCAUAGAUGAAACAAGUUGUUCCAAAUAAAUUACCAGAAAUGCAAAUGUAAAUUAACACUGAAAUUGCUUGAGAGCUUGUUUCAAGCAUGAAAUUAUUUACUUUUCUUACAGCUGAAUGGAUGAUUUUGUCACACUUUUAUCCAUUCACCUUGUUUUUGUGCUGGCU